rnacentral:rRNA from 1 species
AAGGCCCUGCUUUUGUGGGGUGCUCGAGUGGCGAACGGGUGAGUAACACGUGAGUAACCUGCCCUUGACUUUGGGAUAACUUCAGGAAACUGGGGCUAAUACCGGAUAGGAGCUCCUGCUGCAUGGUGGGGGUUGGAAAGUUUCGGCGGUUGGGGAUGGACUCGCGGCUUAUCAGCUUGUUGGUGGGGUAGUGGCUUACCAAGGCUUUGACGGGUAGCCGGCCUGAGAGGGUGACCGGCCACAUUGGGACUGAGAUACGGCCCAGACUCCUACGGGAGGCAGCAGUGGGGAAUAUUGCACAAUGGGCGGAAGCCUGAUGCAGCAACGCCGCGUGCGGGAUGACGGCCUUCGGGUUGUAAACCGCUUUCGCCUGUGACGAAGCGUGAGUGACGGUAAUGGGUAAAGAAGCACCGGCUAACUACGUGCCAGCAGCCGCGGUGAUACGUAGGGUGCGAGCGUUGUCCGGAUUUAUUGGGCGUAAAGGGCUCGUAGUGGUUGAUCGCGUCGGAAGUGUAAUCUUGGGGCUUAACCCUGAGCGUGCUUUCGAUACGG